UCUUGGAGGGUUUGGAAAUACAGAAAUUGCCUAACAUAAUAGAGAUAUGGGACAAGCAAUUACUCAUAGCCUCAGAAAAAGAAUCAAAGUCCUUUUGCCAGUUGAAAGAUAUGAAGGUUUCUAAUUGUGAGAAAUUGGUACAUGUGGUCCAAUUCAAUAUGCUCCCACAACUGCAAAA